GCGACUGUUUCUUUCGAGCGGUGUCUCAUCAGUUAUAUGGUGACCCUGAGCGCCAUUUAGAAGUUAGAGCAGUCGGUAUUGCAUAUUUGCGAGACAAUCCUCAGAGAUUCAUUGAAAGUAAUACUGAAAACUCCUUGUUAGAUUAUCUCAAUACUAUGUUUUUUUAAACAGAAUAGCUAUAUAUAGCUACCUAUAAAUUUGCCAAAUGAUGAUAAAUUGUUUGGGCCAAAUGAUCAUAAAAUGAUCAUAAAAUGAUCAUAAAAUGAUCAUAAAAUGAUCAUAAAUCAUUUGGAAAAAUGUAGUUUUUCCUUCAAUAAUGCUGGUGGUAUAACUAAAACCCUGUCUUUCGAUUUUUUACGUGAUGAGCAACAUGCAGUCCGCCCGUGCAAAUUCUACUAGGACUUGACUACAUACAUGGAAACCUUAUAGUCCGAGUACGCCAAAAAUAGCACGAGUGCUGGGUAACACUGUUGCGACAUAAUCAAGAUGAGACGUUUGUCAUGUGUCAAGUCGUGUAUUUAUUUGACGACCUCUAGGUAUAGCAUUUCAUUUUGAACUUAGGUUUGGUUGUGAGCGCUAUAGAAGUGCGUGGCUGCGUGCCUUGCAUGGAAAUGUUGUACGUAGAUAUUACAGUGUUAUGCUGUGGCUUUAUUUAUUCAUUUGGCUAUAGUUGUCUAUAUUGCUUGAUGAAUUGUUGGCUUGUAAGGCGUCAGUGAAGUGCCAGUUUGAAUGUCAUGGGAAGAAUAUUAAAGUCUCGCUAUUCACAGCCGAAUGUUUUAUGCAAUGUUUUCCAGCACGGAAUUUGGUUUCAUUGAAAGGCUCAACAGUGGCCGGCAAAGGAAUAUUUCAUUACCUAAGAACAACCACAGUUCUCUGCUCAUUUUGCUGUGGGGAGUCUGCAUCACCAAUAACGAAGGGCGAGUAUUUAGAGAAUGUCUGUCAAGAAAAGUAAAAUUAAAGCCGUUGUCUAUGGUAAUGCCUCCAUAUUGUCAGGAAAGCAAUUUACUGACGCUGUCAACAGAACACUGAGUUCAUUGGUUUUUGUCAUUUCCAUACAACUCAAUCCAAGGAGAAUUUUCGUCUUCCCAGAAGCGGCAUGCGCCAGGCAGAGUAUAAACAACAUUUAUAAAUGAUGAGUUGCCAAACUGGUCACAGUUACUGUUUUCGGCAGAGACUUUAACGUAGAGAGACUCGUGUUCUUUGAUGCUGAUCCGGUGUCGUCGGCGUAAAUGAUCUGAGAUUCUUGAAACUGGAAUAUUGUAAUAUCGACAGCCAGGUACAUGGCAGGUUCUUCUUGCGUGACGGUCAGCUGAGGAUUUUGUGCAAGUCCUUCUUAUGGCACUUGGGGUUUGGUAUUUUUGAUGCUGCGCCAUGGUAAUAGACGGAUGAACUCUUUUAAGAUGCCUGUCAAGUCGUUUAAAGAACAAUCCAUGUUGUGUACAGCCCUCCACUCGACAAACGCCGCUCUGAGGCAUGCUGUGUUACAGUAUUGCUUGUGUUUAUUAUUAAUGGUGAUUAUUCGUUCAAUGUUUUGCAAGAUGUAUAGCUGUCUAUCAUAUGACUCAGAAUUCGAAUCGACGAACGUUUUGGCGGGCUUUGUUUGUAAAUUUUCCCGCGCCUUAUUGUGGUCAUUAAAAUUCCUUUUCUGAUAUAGAAUUACAAAUCUGAUGUUCAAUCAUUUAAAUUUUUUUGCAACAAAACAUUCCACAAAGCAUUCCAAAGUUGAUGAAAUUGCAAAAUCAAGUUUCUGUCAUAUUUCUGUCAGUAUCAUCAAAUUUAUGACAUACCUGUGGUCUGAUUAUUUCUUCAACGUUUCACGAGAUGUACAGAAUGUCCGCAAAAAAGAACCCUUUUCAAGUUUUGUCAGAGUUUGAAUGCUUUAUCAUUAUGCCAAACAAUUGCAGCUGUUGUGUAAAAAUUGGAAAACUGAACCAUAGACCUUACCAUAUAGUGAUCAGGCGCGUUGAAUUUCGAGCCAAAGCUUGAUGGGGUCAGGGUUUCCACAAUAUUGACAACCACAAGGGAGGGAGGGAUCUGUGUUAGUAAGAUAUAUUAUGCAAUCUUUUCAAAAGUUCUUUAUUGCUUUUUUUUGUCAUUUCUAUCUCCCUAUGAGGACGGUCAUAUGCAAAUAAGUUGUGGAUGGGGUACAUUUUUCCUGUAACAUAUAGCUGUGAUAUUUUCUACCAGUACACUUAUUUUAUUGCAUUAUACUCUAAAGGCAGAAAUAAAUCAACGCAGCUUUUGGCGGGCUCUCUUCAUACAUUUUCCCAAGCCGAAUUUGGUAGUCCAGAUUGCUCUACUAAUAUGUUCGAAAUUACAAAAGGCUCUCCUUCAAUGUUAAUUGCCAAAGAGCAUUCCAAAGGUGGAAAAUUUGAAAUCAAGUAUUUCUGUCAACAUCACCAUAUUUACGAGUCAAGGUUAUAGUGGACAUACCAAAUCUAAAGCAUGGGGUAUAUAAUAGAAGAUUUAUUAUUGUUUUUUGUGGCUUGCAUGCAUGCGUAUCACUGUUUGUCAGAAUAAAGAUAAUAAUUUAUUCUCGAAUCUGCCGUUUUAAAUACCUCGUAAAAUUCGU